CCUUACCCGCGUGAGUUUUUGCGUGUUUCUUGCUGGCCUGUGUUUUGUUGUGCAGUGAAGGACGGCGUGGACGGGAUGAUCGAGUACGGCGCCAACGCGCGAGCCCUCCGCCGGGCUCUACUUCGUCCAGCAGCACGCCCGGGACCACUCCAUGCCCCUGCUAGUUCCUCGACGCCUGGCCCUGUCCUGCAUGCCUUCCUCUCCCCCCUUGCUUUUCUUCCUUUCCCCUGCUUGUGCAUGCUGGAGCUGCUUUAGCUAGAGCCGGAGCUCUAUCAAACGGGAGGUAAGGAUGUACUACCACCUGAAUUAAGUCAAAUACAAGUUUCUGGAAGAAACAAAGCAAUGCUUCUCUUGUUGUUGCUGCUGCUGCUUGUAAUCUGCUGAAUCGUCUGAUGAUGUGGUCAGCUAUUGGUAGCUGCUCGCGGAGAAGACACGCUGAUUUCGGACCUCCCCUUGCCGAUGACAUGAUAAGGACAUAUAUAGAUCGCUGCAAAUAACGUCGAAGGCCCAGCCAAAGAGAGGGUCGUAUCGUACUGCAGAUACACUAAUUCUUGGCUGUAAUUUGUGAGAUCGUUUUUGUCACU